rnacentral:RNase_P_RNA from 1 species
CGAGCAGAUCGCGCAAUCGCUCUUUAAUUAGAGAGGAAAGUCCGAGCACUAUAGAGAAGAAUGGUUGUUAACGACAACCGAUCGUAAGAUUAGGGAAAGUGCCACAGAAACUAAACCGCCCGAAAGGGUAAGGAUGAAAAGUGAGGGAGUAAGACCCCUCUCUCCAAUAUGGUGACAUAUAGGAGUGGUAAACCCCAUUCAGUGCAAGACCGGUGGGCUUAAAUUUUUACGAAUUAUGAUUUUUAAAACCUUAAAGGUAUUAAAAAUCUCUAUUCAAAAUGUUUCUCGUAUUCAAAAGUUUAGGUCCGGUUGCUUGAUCUUUACAGCAAUGUAAAGGCUAGAUAGAUGAUUGCGGUCCGUCUUUGAUGGAUACAAAACUCGGCUUAUAGAUCUGCUCAUCCC